rnacentral:ribozyme from 1 species
AAAAAUAAACAAUGCAGUAAUAGCCAGUAGAGAAUAGCAUAGCAUACAUAAUCGUAUCCACAAAGAAACAGAACUCAAUAUAUUCGGGGGUAUUUAUUUUAAAUUAUCAGCAAACAACCCCAACGUUUCCAUCAUGGGCUUGACCUUUUCCCGC